ensembl:piRNA 21ur-666 ncRNA
UGCUUUGGCUUUUCUUUUAAU